rnacentral:rRNA from 1 species
GACGAACGCUGGCGGCGUGCCUAACACAUGCAAGUCGAGCGGAGACAUUGGCUUCGGUUAAUGUUUUAGCGGCGGACGGGCGAGUAACGCGUGAGCAACCUUUCUCUUACUGGGGAAUAACACAGGGAAACUUGUACUAAUACCGCAUGAGACCACAGAGGGGCAUCCUUCAGAGGUCAAAGAUUUAUCGGUAAGAGGUGGGCUCGCGUCUGAUUAGAUAGUUGGUGGGGUAACGGCCUACCAAGUCGACGAUCAGUAGCCGACCUGAGAGGGUGAUCGGCCACAUUGGGACUGAGACACGGCCCAAACUCCUACGGGAGGCAGCAGUGGGGAAUAUUGGGCAAUGGGGGAAACCCUGACCCAGCAACGCCGCGUGGAGGAAGAAGUAUUUCGGUAUGUAAAGCUCUAUCAGCAGGGAAGAUAAUGACGGUACCUGACUAAGAAGCCCCGGCUAACUACGUG